rnacentral:rRNA from 1 species
CCUACGGGAGGCAGCAGUGAGGAAUAUUGGUCAAUGGGCGGAAGCCUGAACCAGCCAAGUAGCGUGCAGGAUGACGGCCCUACGGGUUGUAAACUGCUUUUAUACGGGAAUAACGCGCCUUACGUGUAGGGCUUUGCAUGUACCGUAUGAAUAAGGACCGGCUAAUUCCGUGCCAGCAGCCGCGGUAAUACGGAGGGUCCGGGCGUUAUCCGGAUUUAUUGGGUUUAAAGGGAGCGUAGGCGGCAUGUCAAGCUUGCUGUGAAAUGUUCGGGCUCAACCCGGGCCUUGCAGCGCGAACUGGCGUGCUUGAGUCCGCGGAAAGCAGGCGGAAUGCGUCGUGUAGCGGUGAAAUGCUUAGAUAUGACGAAGAACCCCGAUUGCGAAGGCAGCCUGCUGCAGCGGAACUGACGCUGAUGCUCGAAAGCGCGGGUAUCGAACAGGAUUAGAUACCCGGGUAGUC